GAAAUGCGAUAAGUAAUGUGAAUUGCAGAAUUCAGUGAAUCAUCGAAUCUUUGAACGCACCUUGCGCUCCUUGGUAUUCCUUGGAGCAUGCCUGUUUGAGUAUCAUGAAAUCUUCAAAGUAAAUCUUUUGUUAACUCAAUUGGUUUCUACUUUGGUAUUGGAGGUCUUUGCAGCUUCACACCUGCUCCUCUUUGUUCAUUAGCUGGAUCUCAGUGUUAUGCUUGGUUCCACUCGGCGUGAUAAGUUAUCUAUCGCUGAGGACACUGUAAAAGGUGGCCAAGGUAAAUGCAGAUGAUCCGCUUCUAAUAGUCCAUUGACUUGGACAAUACUUUUAUGAUCUGAUCUCAAAUCAGGUAGGACUACCCGCUGAACUUAAGC
rnacentral:misc_RNA from 1 species